AUUGAACGCUGGCGGCAUGCUUUACACAUGCCAGUCGAACGGCAGCACGGGAGUAAUCCUGGUGGCGAGUGGCGAACGGGUGAGUAAAGCAUCGGAACGUGCCCCGCCGUGGGGGAUAACGUAGCGAAAGCUAUGCUAAUACCGCAUAAGAUCUGUGUCUGAAAGCGGGGGACCGUAAGGCAUCGCGCGAUUGGAGCGGCCGAUGUCAGAUUAGUUAGUUGGUGAGGUAAAGGCUCACCAAGCCGACGAUCUGUAGCUGGUCUGAGAGGACGACCAGCCACACUGGAACUGAGACACGGCCCAGACUCCUACGGGAGGCAGCAGUGGGGAAUUUUGGACAAUGGGCGCAAGCCUGAUCCAGCAAUGCCGCGUGCAGGAUGAAGGCCUUCGGGUUGUAAACUGCUUUUGUACGGAGCGAAAAGGCUUCCACUGAUACGGGGGGCUCAUGACGGUACCGUAAGAAUAAGCACCGGCUAACUACGUG
rnacentral:rRNA from 1 species